rnacentral:lncRNA from 1 species
UUCUUUUGGUAAGGCGAUGAUUAAUGUUUGCAUCAAUUCUUGAAGAGAGUAUCCAUAAUUUUUCUUUUGUGAAGGAACACCGACAUACCAAAAGGUACCAUAUCCACCCCUCUCCAAAAAUUCAAUCUAAGUUAGAAGUCACAUAGGCAAUCUAACCCAGACAAAAAAAAACUCUAAUCCAGCCAUGAAACGGGUUUUCCCAUAUUUCAACCCAUGUCACUUUGCUAGGGAGUAAUUUAACCCAGGUGAGAGGACUAUAUCAACCCAGGCGAGUUUUGCCACAUCAGCCCAGGACCACAUCGUGGCCUACGACAGCCACAUUGUCUCAAGAAGCCUGACGCGCCUCUCCCUCAAGUUUUGUACACGAACCAAUAGGCCACGGACAAAACGCGUGAACUUCAAUCUUACAUUGUGUAGUGACGAUAGCUUCGGCCCUACCUCCACGUGUCGCCUCUAGAUGGGUGGACCACUGGUUUUCAAAUGCAACGUUCUUCAAAUAUUGGCCAUUGCUUUCUUUUCAUUUUGCAAUUUGACAGCUCAGAAGAAAUAGUCGUUGGGUUUGGAAAGGAUUAUAAGAAAAUACUGAAAAUAUUAGCAAAAAUUAACAAAAAAUUAUUGAAAUAUUUUGGGACAAUACCCAUUAGCCCUAAUUUUAAGAAUUUUAUUCCCACUAACAAAAUAAGAUUUUAAAAUUCCCAUGAGCCAACUUAAACAGGAAAAAGACAAGUAUACCCUUAAUGAUUUAAAUAAACCACAAUAGACCAUUAUAAGAACAAUAAAAAGUCUAUUUUGAAAUAAUUAUCUAUGACCGGAUUCUCACAACCGAUGACCGUUGACCGUGACUCCGACGACUGUUGACCAGGAUCCGACGACGUUGACCGAACUUCGGCGACCGUUGACCAAAUUCAGACGACCGUUGAACGGGCUCAGUUGACCAGAUGUCUAUUGAGGGCAGUAGGGGGUUCGUCAGGGGGUCUAUUGGGGGCAGUAGGGGGUCAUGUUAGGGGUUUAUUGGGGUAGUAGGGGGUUCGUCGGAGGGUCUAUUAUAGGUAGUAAGGGGUCAUGUCAGGGGUCAAUUGGGGCAGUAGGAGGUCAUGUUGGGGGUCUAUUUGGGCAGUAGGGGGUAUUGGGGUCAGUAGGACCUCCUACUAGGGGUAGUAUGACCCUUGAACUUAACUGUGUGUUUUAGUCAUUUAUAAUAGGUCCCUACUGGGGGCAGUAAGACCACCUAUUGGAGUCAGUAUGAUCUCCUACUAAGGGCAGUAGGACCCUUGAACUUAAUUGUGUGCUUCAGUCACUUAUAACAAGUCCCUAUUGGGGUUAGUAGGACCUCAUAUUGGGGUUAGUAGGACCUCAUAUUGGGGUUAAUAGGACCUCCUACUAGGGGCAGUAAGACCCUUGAACUUAAUUGUGUGUUUCAGUCACUUAUAACAAGUCCCUAUUGGGAGCAGUAUGAUCACCUAUUGGGGUCAGUAUACAUGAAAGAUGGUAUAUAGAGGGAAUAUAAGGUUUCUCAGAGACCUAUUGGGGCUAGUAUGACCCUGAUUCCAAAUCCAAAUUCAAUAAUCAGCAAUCAAAUCAAGAGAAUGAACCGUUAAUCCAUAAUCACAUAUUCAUAAUCCAUUCAUCCAAACAAAAUACCACUUGAAUUACUCAACCCGAAAAUCCACCUAAUCUGAAACUCAUAACAAACCAAAUCACCAUAACAAAACAACAAUUUCACAGCAAAUAAAUAAGCAUAAUCAAAACCUACAAAUCCCUACUCAAAAUCUCACAAUGACACUAAAGCAAAAACUCACCAUAAACCCCAAUAUAUAUCAAGCUCGAAAAAGGCUCAUAUAACUCUAAAAUUGACAAUGCAAACCAUUUUCAAUGUUGUUAAUUAUUUCUAUUCACCAAAAUUGCACAACAAUUUUGAUUGAGCACCAAUUCCUGCUACAAUUUUGAUUGAGCACCAAAAUUAACUAUUAUCUCUCAGCACCAAUUCCUGCACACAAUUCCAUCACUCAAUUUCAAAUUCAUCUCACACACACACACAAAAGUUGUAUACAAAAUUUGAUUGAGCACGAACCUCGAGGCCGGAGAGCGCGAUCCAAGCGGAGAUCGGCUCGACGGCGGCGUCUUCGAAGAGGCUAUGGCAGAAGGAGAGCUUGGUGAGGUUGGAGAGGGUGGCAAUGUGAGUGUCCAAGGAGGAAGGCGGUUGACGGUGAGGUCUAGCUCGGUGAGACUCGGCGGUAACUCGACCGAGUUGAGGUCAUGAAAUUAGCAGCUGAUGAGAUCGAGGACGGUGGAGGAUGAGUCGCCGUCGGAUCGUCGUGAUUUAGUGGUAGCGGUUUGGCGAGAUGCAGAAAAACCAGACCUGAGCUUGGACCGGUUCCAGAUCAAGAUGGAGAAGCCGAUCUACGACAUGGUGGACGACGGCGAGUUUGGGCACUUGAUCGAUGACGACAACGGCCUUGGAAGAUGACUGGACAUCCGCGUCGGAAGCAGCUCCCGGAGAGAGAGAGAGAGAGAGAGAGAGAGUGCGAGGUUAUUUUAGACAUCAAAAAUAGAUUAAAAACUAAAAGUUUGGCUAGUGGGAAUAAGCUCUUAGACAUUAUAGGGUUAGUGAGAAUUUUAGAUUCUUAUUUUGUUAGUGGAAAAAAGUUUCUCACAAACCGGGCGGAUGGGAAUUUUUCCAAAAAAAAAAUGUCUGGGUAUAUUCUUCAUAAAUAUCUAUGACCUUUUUUAUUACAUCCCACAUCGAAAAAUGCAUUGGUUUUAUUAUGCAUUAGAGCAUUUCCAUUUUGUUCUUUUUGGUUAUUUCUUUUCUUUUGAGUGCUUGAAUGAAUUUUAUCUAUUUAUUAAAAUUUUCUUUAAUAUUAUUUAUUCAUAUUUAAAACAAAUCUACUACGAUUACUCACACUUGUUUAAUGAAUUUAAAAUUCAAUAAACAGUUACUGUCACAUGACAGCAAUCUCAUAUUCUGACGGGUGAAAACUGCUACCCAGAAUGACCCAGGUCACUGUGUUUAAUCUAACCCAACGGGUGAACUUACUACGAUAAACAGAUGGGAUUGCAUGGAAAUGGGCAGUCAAUUUGCUUUGCAACAUUGUUAUUGAAGUACCAAUCACCCACAGACUCUGCAAUUGUCUAUCAAAGUUCAAAUGAGUCAGAUAACUUUGCAUAAACAAAAGUGACAGAAUAUCAAUUGCUUUUUGGCGAAACAGAAUAACAAUUUGAGAGCCAUUUUUGACGAUAUAAUUACUAGUUUAGGCUUUCAGUCGCUGCUGAACAUCAAAACAUGUAUACAUUAGGUAAACUCACCAUCAGUUGCUGCUAAACUAUUGACAAGUUGCAAUUUUUUCAGUCAUAAAGUUUCACGUUCAGCUUUGAGUUGUUGAACAGAAUUGACUACUAAUUAAUAUAUCAUAACUACAAGCAAAAGCAUGGAAAAAUAGAUCUAUGAAAAGCUUUAUGACCUAAGAAUACAACAGUAACCUCAGUGAUCUGAAAAACAUAAAAUGAUGGAGUACUUCCUGGAUCAAGAUUCUACUUAACAAAAAUGAAUUUUCACCUAGAUCCUCACCUUAUUACUUAUUCGCGGAGAACUGGGUGAAUGCCAUGUCUUCGUAAACCAUGUCUGACAAUGAAUAAAACAUGAAUUUAUAAACAUUCCUCCCUCCUUCAAUGAAUAAACUAACGGCAAUCAGGCAAUGUUUAUUAUUAAAGGCGGGUUAUCUGAUUGUCUUGUUCGGGUCUGGUUGAGUCAAUGCAUAACUAGCAGGCCGGCUCAAGGCAUUAAGGGCCCAACAUCAUCUUCAAAAUUUUAGCAAAUAUGUUUUACAGCGCAACUCACAUACGGGAUAGGUUUUAUGGGACAAAGAGGGACUCUUUUACGACAACCACAAGAUUAUUAAUCAACUGAUCUAAUUUUUAUUGGGGGCGGAUCGGUGACAUACAAGAUUAUAAUCAAAAUUAUAACUAGAAUAUUUGUCAUUAGAUCUAUUAACAACUAACGAUUGAGAUUAGUCAUAAAAUUAAAUAUUUUUUUCUUUUCAUUUCUUUUUAUUUAAAUCAAUUAAGGAAAUCUAUCUAUUAAAAAAUAAUGAAAAUUGAUGAUACCUACUCUCAUUUUGGAAUACAAUUAACAGGAAGUUAAUGGUUAUAUAUUGAAACCCAUUUACUAGAUAAAAAAAGAAAAAAUAAUAAAUAUCAGAUGAAACUCAUUUACUAGAGAGUACUAUCAUCAUCUACCUCUUCUUCUUCAAAGAAAAAAAAAUUAUCAGAUGAUAUCUGUCAUAACACGUUUGAAAACUUAUGAUCAAAUUAUGUAUGGAAAUACUCAGAUCAUCUUGUGUUAUGAACAACAAAAAGCUGCAAUGAGUACGUCUAAGAUGCACUAGAUUGGAGACUUAAUUUGUUUUCUUUCCUCUCUAGUAAAUGAGUUUCAAUAGGCAACAAAUUAUUUCCUCUUAAUUAUAUUCCAACUAGAGAAUAGUAAUCAUCAAUUUGUAUUUAGAUAGAUUUCAUAAAUUGAAUUAAAAAAAGAAAAAAAAACUAGUUUUAUGAUUAAUCUCAACCGUUAGUUGUUAUUGGAUCUAAUGGAUGAUAUUCUGAUUAUAAUUUUGAUUAAAAUCUUGUAUGUCACAGAUACACCCCAUUUUUAUUUGGUAGAAGUAUUAUGGGUCAAAUACAUGGUUCCACCAACAACAAGAUUCACUCUAUGGUAAUGAAUAUAUUGGCAAAUUUUACCAUAUAUAAAUGGGUAUGAAAAAUGAAAAACCUGUUGUAAACUAAGAAAAUAAGAGAGAGAUGAUAGAGAGACAAUAUGUGGGAGGAGGAAGAAGUGUCACAUUCAUUCUCAUUAGACCUCUUUAUAUAAGAGUAAUGUUUAUAUCAUAAGGACAUAAAUAAUGAGUAUUUACGUGGACAUCCACAUAAUUAUAAUAUUUACAAUAAAAUCAUAUUGUUUUAUGAAAUUUGACGUGUACAAAAACAAACAUUAACAGGAUACCAUAACUCCAGCUUCACCUUGCAAUCCUUGUACCAGAUCACUAUAUAAAACUACUAUCAGCAAAUUUCUAUGUCAUUGAGCAUAUUAUUCACAUUGUGACGUUCUAACGAAACUUCACGUUGUAAAUCGGUGACCUUGAUAGCAAAGAUUUCAACUAAACUGUGGGAUUUAAUAGUUCUGGUCGAGAAGGGUAAGUUGGACUCUUGGGAAGAAGCUGUUUCCACCCAGUUUAUAAGCUCUUCUCCGUACAAAACACUUUUCUCCUCAACUUCGACAGUUCUUGAGAAACCAGAUGAAUCGUAGAUGAGUACAAUCCCUUGUGUGAGGAAGAACAUCCUAUCAAGUGGCUCCCCUUCCCGAAUCAUAUAACUACUCUCAUUAUAGAGCACCGGCUUAAGAUGCUUACAGAUUUUCUUCAAUACCAAAUCGUCUUUAUGUUGAAGUCCAUCAACCUGGGAUUUACGUAAAUUGAGGAAGAACAAAAUUAUAAAGAAGAAUUUUGUAAAAAAAUUCAGUUAAAUAUGGCAUUUUACUAGAGUGUGGCUUUAAAUUAAACUAGAGAUGGAACACCCAAUCUCAAAAGAGAUAAGGUAUUAUAUGAUAUAUUACAAAUAUAGUUUAAUGGACAACGGAUCUUACUUUUUUGAGCUUAUCAAAAAAUAGAGCGCACUUGAUCUCAUCAACAAAACUUCGGGCUUCUUCUAAGGAAAGAAUUGAAAACAUAUUCUCUACUAUAUAAUUGCCAUCAUCUGCAAGUUUACUUUUUACAGCAAGCUUAAUUUUCCUCUUCAUCUCGCCAUUCUCAUCAAACAGACCAUAUUCAUGUAAUAUCAAUCGAAAAUUAAUCAUUUUCAUCCUCACUCGGAUAUUAUCAUCUCUGCCAACAUUCUGCAUAAAUGUCUAUUCCAAAAACAAGAGAGGGUAGGUUCAGUUCAAUAAACUAAAAUCAAUGUGGGUGCAAAUAUGAUUAAUGGACAGAAAAAUUCAAAUAGCAUAAUUCAAGUAACUGUAAGUGUUGCUGUAACAAAAUGAGAGGUUAUAUUAAGCCUAAUCUCAGUUGUUACCACUUAGCAUUUCCUAACAAGAGAAUCAAUUUUGUCUUAAAAAGUCUCAAUAUUUAUGAUGUUAACAGAGCAAAUGCACCCAUGUUUUGAUGCAAAUUGCCAUGCCAGUUUACCAACUUUUCAAAUUCACUACUCAUUCAGUUCACCAAUGCAGUAAUGAAAGGCGAUUGUGCUGCCAACACACUAUCUUAUUCAACGCCAACCAUUGGAUUCAAAGAGCACUUGUUAUUUAUUUUUAUUUUUUUUGGUCAAUGAGAAAAACUUCAUUAAGCCAUAGGGGCAAAUAAGAAAGAGCAACAACAAAACAAUCAAAGAAGCAAAAAGACCAGAAGCUAAACAACACAGCUAGCUGGCAACAAAAAAAGGCAAAACCUGAAAAUAACAAGAGCUAAUCUCUCGGAAGGCCAUCACUCCUCAUAACAUUUCAUAAGGAGAGAGAUGAUGUGAGAUUGUGAGACCUUAUUGUCUCCAUUAGAAGGUCUAUUAGGGGGGCAAUAAAUGUCUAUUGGCAGACCAUUAAACUUCUCCGACGAUCUAUGAGAUCUUUGACCACCUAGUUGGGGACCUCCGGCUGGUAAAUGGUUGGAUUCUGGUGACUACUGACUAGAUUCUGACAGUCAGUGACUAGUUAUGAUGACUGUAUUCUAGCGAAGUCUCCUAUAACUCUCUCUCUUUCAUUACUCUUACAAGGCAACUUCUAGUCUUGGUACAACUUACUUAGUAAGUCGUAACAUGUUUAAUAUUUAGAAUAAACGACAUCAUAACUUUCAUAACUAUAAUUUCUCAUUUAUAUUUCACUAACCUGCAUGUGCCCCAAGAGAUACAUAAACAACACCAAGCUACAUAUCGAAGAGACAAUCAUGAGCAAGUUUUCUGAGCCACUUGAACUCGUUUUGAGAUUUGAACCGAAAGAACUGAAGAGAAAGAAACAGAGAGUGAUACAUGUAAAAAAUAUUGUGUAAAAGAACUAAAGAGAAAAAAAAACAAACAGUAAUAUAUUAAAAAGUACAAUGUAGGUAUAGAAAGUGACUAUGAUUCGAUACAUUUUAACGGUGAAUCGUUAAGACCUUAGUUGUUAUAUUAGUGUACACAAAACCUUAAUUACAUAUAAACAAUAAACUUCGACAUGUAUGAUCGACACAUUUGCUUUGUUGCCGAUCCAUUCAGUAUCAGCAACUUAAACUUAGCUACGAACAACCCUACAAGAUUGAGCUUUAAAAAAUCAGUUUCUAUUUGACUUUUUAGAUUUCGUAGUGUUUGGUUAAUUAGAGAAAAAUAGUUCUUUUAAAAAGAAAAAAAUUACAUGUUACUUGUAGCAGAUUCGAGGUUGCUUUUUAGAAGCUGUUGUCAUUAAAAUGCCUUGACAACUUUUUAAAAGUUUUAUUUAACAAGAAUUUUUUUUAGGAACCUACAUGUAUGUGAUAACCACAUUUACUAAUAUGACAACAAUUUUGUUGUCAAUGAGGUAUAUUGAGUCAUAACUUAGGUAAUUUAAUUCUAUUAGCGGUAGUUACUCAAUAUAUGACUUUUUACAGUUUAUGAACAAAUUGUUGUGGAUAUAAUAACUUGGUUCAAUUAUAUGUAAAUGUGUAAAACCGAUGUGGUAAAUUCGUUGUCAAUGUUAUAAAUUUAUUUCAAAUAAAUAGUAAUUUUUGUCCAUAGUUGUAAAUAGGCCUAUAAUGUCAACCUAGGGCCGAUGGGCACGCCCAAACUUAGCCUAAUUUUUUUAAAACAAGUAGGGUAUGGGCAACACUUCUGAAACCCUGGGCUGGCUCAUGGGCAUGCCUUGCCCAUAUGGUAUAAUUUAGGGCCGGUCAGGUCAACUCUCCCCAAAAGGUACAUAUAUGUUUUUACAUUAAUGAAUUAGUUAAGAAAUAUUAUAUUAGUGUGAUAAAUGUAUUACACUUUCAUUUACACUACAAUAAAUAACUCUACUUUGUUCUCGUUUCUUCAAUAAGUUCGUAAAUAAUUUUAAAUUUAAUUCCUUUUAUUGUUUAGGUCACCGGGGGGGAGGGGGGGGGUCGGUUUCUGGCCCAAACUUUACCCGCCCACGGGUCGAGCAUCGGCUUCCAAAAUUUUGACAGGGUCGAUCCUGUCCUACCUAUUUUAUAUGUAGGGUUGAAAAAGCCCAAGGCUGGAUAGUAUAUGGGUCAUCAUAUCUUAGGGUUGGGUUGACCCAGCCUUGCCCAUUUUACAGGCAUAGUUGUAAAUGAGGGAAUGGUAUACAAGUGGGUACCAUAGACGACCCCAUAUUUACCAAACACAAAACAGUUUUUAUUAACAUCUUAUUUUUUCACAUCACAACAACAACAGUUUUUUUUUCAAAGACACAACAAUCUCAAAUUAUCCCUAAAUAUAUCUACGUUGAGUUAAAGUUGGAUGUGAAAAUUGAAGAAGAUCUAUACAUGUCGCUCUCUGUCUCUCUCGGUCUAUGCAAUGGAAGAAAAAAGAAAAAAGAAUAUAUGAUGAUAAUAUUGGAAAAGGUUAUGUGUGAAGAGGCCAGAAUCGAUGUCCAAAUAUUUUGAAGAAAACCACAUUAAUUAAAAAAUUAGGGAAAUUUAAUAACUUAGAUCUAUAGUUAGAACUUUUGAGACAGAAAACAAUACAAAACAAGAAAGCGUCGAGAGAACAUCCUCUACUAGGGUUUUCUAUCCCGCCGCUUAGCACCCCUUUCUCUUCUUUUCGACAUCAUGUUAGACGAGGUUUCCCAUCGCUUUGCCUCUACCCUCAAUAUCCAGGAGGCCGGUAGACCGUCUUCUGGUCUCGGUCGUGCCGUCGCCGCACCACAACAGUUUUUCGCUGUUGGAAGACUUCUUUCUUAGGGCUGUGAUUGGGACUCUUUCACUGGUAUGGAAUCUCCAAAACAGACUACUAAUGAGACCACAAGCCGAUCUGUUCAUCCUUCGCUUCACGAAGGUGGAGUAACAGAGUUAGCUUAUAGAGUGUGGCCCUUGGUUCUUUAGGGGCUCUCUCUUUGUCAUGGCUGAAUAUGAUGGACUCCAGGAUGUUGCAUCUGUGCCGAUUGAAUCCAAUUCAGUAUGAGUUGAGAUCUUGGGCCUUCCUUCUACUUUGUGGACCGACGAGGCUACAGAGAAAAUCAGAGACACGCUAGGGUUUAUGGAUCAUGUGGAAAAGCUUGGUAUUAAGUGAGAAACUCGCACCAGGGCGCAAAUUCUUCAUAAGAUCUUUGAUCCAAUUCAACAGGCUUUUGGUGAGGUACUAUUUGAGUUCAGGGUGGCAAGGUUUCCGGUGAAGCUUCGUUUCAGGUAUGAUUGGAUAAUACGCUUUUGUUGAUCAUGUGGUUUGUUCGAGCAUACGACAACGGGGUGUGGUGGCAUACCCACUAUAAUUCCAAGGUUCAUUGACAUCGUCUCGAUGAGAACGCCAUUUGGUUUUGGAGGAUCUGCUAGGGUUCCGGCAAAGGCUUCUAAAAACCCUAAAGUUAUACCUAGGGCUCUGAGUGAGAACAUAGGGCAAAGGGGAGGUGUUUUGGCGUCUUCUAGGGUUCUGGUGGUGACUUCACUUGUGCCAAACUCAUUUGUGGUGAUUAGAGGUGCUAUGAAUGCAGCAAUGACUUUCACGCUGCUUGGUGUUUCAGUAGCCGAGCUAGCGGCACAACUGGCUCGCUUUUAGGCAGCUCCGACUGCAUCGUCUAGUUUCCCUCUGCCAUGUGUUAUUCCAGCGAGUUAUGUUAAGGCAGCGAUCCAACCGACUCUUGUUGGGACCAAGAGGGGUCCUGAUAUAGAUCUAUGUACUUUUGGAAAGAGGGGACGCAGUGAAGACAAUGGGAUAGACAUGCAACAAGCUUUGGUGCCCUAUGAACUCUCAUUUAACCCUGAGAUAGUGUUGGCUCACUCUGGAGGACAAAUCACGGUAUCACCAGCUAAGAAACGUAAGGUUGGUCGUCCUAAAGGUUCUAAGCGUAAGAGAAGAAUGGUGGAGGGUUCCAUUCCCAUGAGAGGUCCUCUGAAGGCUAAGAAGAGGACUUUUGGCGCUUGCAAAGCACUGGUUUUGGAUGAACAGGUGGAGUUCCAAGAGAGACGUACGUUGGAGACUAAGGUGUCCACUGAUGAGGCUCGCUCUUCUUCUAAGGGCGAUGUGUCUGGGGAACCUCCCUCUAUGUAAGACGGUUUUUGGGAGGCUUGAAUAAGUUGAGCUAUUCUCGACAAGUCAAACCUUUUGAGCUGCACAAUUAUGGUUUGCAUUAUUAAAGUUAUUUAGUUCUGCUUAGGGUUCUAAGUUUUAAGGUUUGUAAGUUUUCUAGAUAGUUUUGAAUGAUUCAAAUGGAUUAAACAAAUUUCAAUUCAAAUAAUAAUAAUAAUAAUAAUAAUAAUAAUAAUAAUAAUAAUUAGAACGUAAAACAAGUUACCACCAGGUGUAGUAAGUACGUGCAAACCUGAGAUUUCUUGUGGUUUGAAGUCAACAUCUGUUUAGUCCUUAUAUAUAGUUUUAUUUUAAACUGAAUGGUCCUUAAAUUCAUGAUUUUUCUUCUAAAUAGUCAUUCUGUCAACUUUCUCAGUUAAAUUACUGACGUGGCUGUUAAAAAUGACAAUGUCUUUAACGACCACAUUAGUAUUUUAACGGAAAAAAUUGACGGAAUGACCAAUUGGAAGAAAAAUUAUGAUUUUAAGGACCAUUCAGAUUAAAAUGAAACCAGAGAGACUUAACAUAUAACAACUCCAAACCAAAUGGACUAAACAAAUUUCAAUUCUAAUAAUAAUAAUAAAAAAUCAGAACGUAAAACAAGUUACCACAAGGUGUAGUAAGUAUGUGCAAACCUGAGAUUUCUUAUGGCCAUUGAUAAACAUUGCAAGUACUUAUUUGAAAAAUUUGUUGAUCUUUGCAUGCCGGAUUCUAAAGCAUCAUGAAAUAUGCCAAAAUCGAAUACUUGUGUAUCAGGUGGAUUCGUGGGGCACAAGUUCUUUAAGAGUGUGAUACUUCUAUGUGUACUUUGAACACAUGAAGUGCUGAAUUCACAUCCAUUUUCACUUUUGCAAGCAUAUACCCAACACUCUAUCUCUUUUUGGAUUGAGAAAUAAUACCAAAAUGCUCCGAAUAUCUAGUUAAAAUAACAUGAAAAUGAAUACAUUAUUAUAACUCAUAUGUGCAAAAUAUCAAUGGGGCACUAUUUUUAGAAAUUGUCAAAGAAAAAAUAAAUUUGAAUGCCAAAAUUAAAAACAAAGUUUUAAGUUAUACAAUAGUACUGGGAUUAUAGUCUUAAGAUGAAGUUCGAAAUAAAAAUAAAAAAAUUCAGAAAUAAUUAAGAUAAUUGAGAGGAAUUAUACAUAUGCAUGCUAUUUUAAAAUAGUUUACUAGGAUAUUUCUUCAUAAUUAUACAACAUAAUCUAAGAGUAAUGAUAAAUGAACCACAUUUUUAGAUAACAUAUGCAUGUUAUUUUAUGUGACAAACUGCUACCCUAGCUUUGACCGUGGUGUCAAUUUGUUACCUUACAUUUCUUUUCUGUCAAUUUUUUUCCCUUAGGUCUUAACACUCGGCCAAUUUGCGACCUUUUAGUCAUUUUAAUUUGUUCAUUUCUUAACUAAUAAAAUGAAAAUUUAAGACUGAAAAUGAUUAGUUUUGAAAUUUUGAUAAGUAAAUUGGUUAAUUUUAAGAGCAUAAAGUAACAAAUGGCAUGAAAUGGUACCAAAUUGGCUAAAAUAAAACUGUGGGUAGCAAACUGGCUAAUUUAGAGAACCAUCGCUAGCAAAUUAGCUGAGAUAAAACAUGAGCAUCUCUACUAGUAUUGCUAAAUCAAUUUAUUUUUUUUAAAUUUGUCAUCUUUUGGGAUGAAUAAGAGAUCUAGCAGAAUGCCGAAAAAAUUGCUGAACCCUAACAUUGCUAAACUAAAUUGAUAAAUUUAUCAAUUUGAGGAGAUCGGGUGAAUCUAGUUAUUGUUAAACUCUCCAACGAUACAAUUUAUUUGUUCAACCUUCAAUUUUUGCACUUCAGCGUUUUAAAAAUUUAAUUUAGCAAUUGAAAUAGCAAUCCCUGUUGGAAACAAAUGCUUAAAAUCAGUAACUAAAUCUAAAUUAUUGCUACACUUAUCAAUAAUUUUAAUACAACUACUGCAGAUGCUCGAUGCUCUAACCAUCUACAGCAGUGAACUUAAAAAAUUGUUAGAUUUUAGAAUUGAAAUUUGUUUAGUCAUUGUGGUUUAAAGUCGAUAUAUGUUUACUCCUUAUGGUUUUAUUUUAAUAUGAAUAGUUCUUAAAGUCACAAUUUUUCAUCCAAAUAGUCUUUAUAGUUUUAUUUUAAUAUGAAUAGUCCUUAAAGUCAUGAUUUUUCAUCCAAAUAGUCAUUCCGACAAUUUUCUUAGUUAAAGGCCAUAAUGACUAUUUGGAUGAAAAUUUUGAUGAAAAAUCANNNNNNNNNNNNNNNNNNNNAAAAGUGUAUGCAUUGAUCCAGCCAAUUUUAUUACUCCACACUAUGAAUUCAAUUCAUCCAAUUUUAUUACUCCACCCAAAAGUGUAUGUAACUAUGCAUGUAACUAUCGAUGUAAUUAUCCAUGUAACUAUGCAUGAAACUAUCCAUGUAACUACAGAUUGAUAGUUACCUGGGUACUUACAUACAUGACGGGCACAAGAAGGUAACUAUCAAUGUAACUAUCCAUGUAACUAUCCAUCUAUGUAACUAUCUACGUAACUAUCCUGUAACUAUCCAUCCAUGUAACUAUGCAUGUAACUAUCUAUGUAACUAUGUAACUAGCAAUGUAACUAUGUAUGUAAUUAUCCAUCUAUGUAACUAUCUAUGUAACUAUGCAUGUAAGUAUCAAUGUAACUGUCUAUGUAACUAUCCAUGUAACUACAGAUUGAUAGUUACCUGGGUAGUUACAUACAUACACUUGUAUACCUGCCUAUGUAACUAUGCAUGUAAUUAUCCAUCCAUGUAACUAUCUUGUAACUAUCCAUCCAUGUAACUAUACAUGUAAUUAUGCAUGUAACUAUAACUAUGUAUGUAACUAUCCAUGUAACUAUGCAUGUAAUUAUCAAUGUAACUGUCUAUGUAACUAUUCAUCUAUGUAACUAUCCAUGUAACUAUGCAUGUAAUUAUCAAUGUAACUGUCUAUGUAACUAUCAAUGUAACUAUCCAUGUACCUAUGCAUGUAACCAUCAAUGUAAUUAUCCAUAUAACUAUGCAUGUAACUAUUGAUGUAACUACAGAUUGAUAGUUGUCUGGGUAGUUACAUGCAUGCUACACUUGUGUACUUGCCUAUGUAACGAUCCAUCUAUGUAACUAUCCAUCUAUGUAACUAUGCAUGUAACUACAGAUUGCUAGUUACCUGGGUAGUUACAUUGCUAGUUACAUGGAUUUUAAUAGAUUUCUGUUCUAAUACGCAGCGGGACGUUGCCAUUGCGGUGCAGCGGGACGCUGCCGUUGUGGUGCAGCGGCACGCUGCAAUUAUUAUUAUGUAAAUGACUUGUGUACCUACAUUAAGCUACUUAUCUAACUAUCAAUGUAACUAUUCAUGUAUCUAUCUAUGUAACUAUGCAUGUAACUAUCCAUCUAUGUAACUAUGCAUGUAACUAUGCAUGUAACUAUCCAUCUAUGUAACUAUGCAUGUAACUAUCGAUGUAACUAUCCAUGUAACUACCGACUGAUAGUUACAUGUGUAGCUUCAUACAUUCUACAUAACAAGCUACACUUCUUCUUUUUUCUUCACACAGAACGCAGAAUAUGGCAAAGUAAAGCAAUCUGUAUUAAUUGUAAAUCAUCAAAUUAAGAAUACCUAGGAAAACAAUUUAGUGCUAAUACAACUCUUAGAACUCUGGCUUUCCUCAUUCAUCGUUUAAUCCAAAAUUCAUUACAAAAUAGAGUAGGAAGGGAAAGGGAACCAUUAUUGUCACCAUGCUUUAGUGCACUUAACAUUAAUUUCAGUAUGACUUUAUCACUACCUUUCCUCAAUGCAAUCUGCAUAAGUAUAAAACAUUAUGAAGUUGUUUGGGUGUUGAAAAUGAAGAACCCAAAAACAGAAACAGCAACCUUAAUAAAUAGAGAUAUGUUUCACACAAAUAAUCUUUCAUUUAGCUGUUCAACAAAACCCCCAACUCUCUGCAUCUCUUUAAACACUUUAAGUCCUUAAACACUUGCUUGGUAGACUUUUCUCCUUCAUUUUCCAGUUUUUUGCAGAAUGACCUUCCCUCCUUCCGACGGCUAUAACUUUCUCUAAAAAAUAGCUAUCAAUGAUCCGCGAAAUGUUCUAGAAACUAGNNNNNNNNNNNNNNNNNNNNAACGGUUUAAAGAAUUUAAAUGGGUGUAUUGUUUUAUCGUCAAGGAACAUUUGUUAACAGUUUUAUCAUUUAUUACUUCUAAAUGUACCAUUUUAUCAUUGGCCCUUUUUAUUACAUCCCACACCGAAAAAUGCAUUGGUUCUAUUAUGCAUUAGAGCGUUUCCAUUUUGUUCUUUUUUGUUUUUUUUUUUCUUUUGAGUGCUUGAAUGAAUUUUAUCUAUUUAUUAAAAUUUUCUUUAAUAUUAUUUAUUCAUAUUUAAAACAAAUCUACUACGAUUACUCACACUUGUUUAAUGAAUUUAAAGUUCAAUAAACAAUCACUGCUACAUGCCAGCAAUCUCAUAUUCUGACGGAUGGAAACUGCUGCCUAGUCACAGUGACCUAGAGUGACCCAGAUUACUUAAGUACGUGAUCCAGAUCACUUAAGUACGUGACCCGAGUCACUAUGUUCAAUCUAACCCAACGGGUGAACUUGCUCUGAUAACAUGUGGGAUUGCAUGGAAAUGGGCAGUCAAUUUGCUUUGCAACAUUUUUAUUGAAGUACCAAUCACCCACAGACUCUGCAAUUGUCUAUCAAAGUUCAAAUGAGUCAGAUAACUUUACAUAAACAAAAGUGACAAAAUAUCAAUUUCUUUUUGGUGAAACAAAAUAUAGAUAAGAUGUUUCAUCAAUUUUCGAUCUCACACAUUCAUGUAUGCAUGCAUAAGCUACAAUAAGCUUUAUUCAUAUUGAGUACUCAUGCCUCUUGGCGAAUAUUUGUCUCUUUAAGGACAACUUAUUUGAGAAUGUGAAUUUUUAUAUAACCUCAUGAAGAGUGUUAUAGGCUUGUACAAUCUUUUCUUAUAGGGAGCUUAUUACAUUGGACUUAGUGGAUACAUUCCACUAACAUAGAUUCACACCAUUAAAUUAGUCUAUUCUCCCCUAACGGCGGGAUGACUAUUAUUUUGACCAUACGCAGAUAUGCGUUUAAAACUAUAUUGGAAUAUUUAUUCAUUGGUGGGUGGCGAGCCCAAACCAAAAAUUUUGGUCAAAAAAUAUGUAAUAAUUUUGUCACUUUCUGAAUUAAUUGAUUAAAAUUCUCCAUAAAAAGUAAAAGGAGGAAUUCAUGAUGAAUAAAUAUCUCAACACUAAUUUUAGAAUAUAUUAUUCUCCCCCAGAUAAUAAAGAAUAGAAUGUAUCACUAAAAGUGACUACUCGCGAAAACAUGCAGUUAAAUUCUCUUGUAUUUUAUAACAUUUUAAAGUUGUGUAGAGUAGUCUAAGUGACAAUAUAAAUUGAUAAAAUCUUGUCAUGCCAGAAUAUUAUUAUAUUUGUCUAUAUAUAUGGAACACGUGGUUCAUGUAUACAGUAGUAUACUAUGGUUGAUUAAUACAACCGAAUUAGGUGUACUUUAUCUUCACCAAUAUACGCUAUGAUAUUUCAUAUCGGUAACAUAAUAUGAGCUCAAUUGGAGCUAUAUAUCUAUCAAGGUUUGCAACUCUUGAGAUGAUUGUUACCCUUUAACCUAAAUUGCAAAAACUAUAUGCAAUUCAAUACUACAAAAAAAAAAAAAAAAAAAAUCUUUUGGCGAAGACGCAAAACCGUCGUCAAUAGCCCUUUUGCCGUCGCAAAACAACAUUCGCAACGGCAAAACAUCCGUCGCAAAUAGUGGCAUCGUCAAUGCUAUUAAUAGCUGUCGCAAGAGCAUUAGCGACAACAAACCUAUGCCGUCACAAAAAAAUAUGAUGGUGUAAUUGUCGUCGCAAACAGCAUUGGCAACGCCAGUAUUUGUAACAGAUGUUUUGUGACGAUAACAAUGCCGUGGCAAAAGAGCUAUUUAUGAAUAAAUAAAAAAUCUGCCAUACAAAUAUACACGAUAAAAUCUAUAUUUUUUUAUCUGCAUAAAACCAUACAAGUAGAAAGAAGUUUAAUGCUUGGAAUAGUACGUUUUAAUCUUAAACCUAGCAAGUUCACAAGAAAAUGAAGCAAGUUUACACUCUCAAAAAUACGUCUCUCCUCCAAGUUAGCAAGUGCCCAGCCAAGUGAUAACAUUUUUUUCUGCAACAAUAUUUCCAUUGUGCAAUAUGCUUGUAAGAUAAGCAUGCCAUGUUAGAACUUUUGAAAGUUGUCUUCUCUUUGUUGCAGGGAAAGUGGUAUCUGCCGCAAACACAACAAACACAGAACUUGUAUUUUCAAAUGGUACAAUAGGUAUAUGAAUCUACCAUAAUUUACACUUCAACAGUAACUCAAAAAGUGAAAGUGGCAUGACUAAAGUUAACCUACUCGUUAUUCGUACCUUGGUUAACGCCUGAAGCAAUAUUUCCAGCAGAAUCAUGAAACAAGUUCUAGCUGUAACAAGACAAUGCAACUAAAAUCAUGUCAAAGUUUCAAACAAAGAAACAUUUGAAUAGAAUGAGCCACUAAAUCAUACCAAGAAAAUAUUCUACAUACUACUUGGCUGUAAUUUUAGGAGAUGUCUCUACCAAGAACAUUCAGUGAAGUAGUUCUCUUUUUUGAGUUAUGUGUCAGCAUCUUUCAAACUAGAUCUUUGGCACCGUCUGAUUAUGAAAGCCAACACAGGAAAUUUCAACAACCCAACGCAUAACAACCAACACAGUAAUUAGGUAUGAUAAAAACAUGUAUGAAAAUUAAGCCACCUAUGUGUUCCUUUUCUUGCCGCUGUUUGCAUAGUCAUUCAGGUAUGAUGUUGGUGUUAGCCAAUAACUCUUCACCAACAGAAGAAAUAAUAUAAAUAGAAACCUGUACCAGGAAAGAGAAAUGCAGAAUGCCACAUUAUUUAAAAUCCCUCAUUUUUUGGGGGUCUAGAAAGCUGUGGAAACACUAAGAAAUAAACUUAAGUAAAUCCACAUCACCCAAUCAGGCCCAAUUGAAUAGAACAGUUUUAAUAAAAAUGUUCAGAAUUGAUAAAAUAUAUAUUCUACCUUCAAAUCCAAAACAUCCAGUGAAGUGGAUAUUUGUUCUAACAGCUGCAGAACAAUUCUAAGUCAACUAACAGGAAUUAGGACCGAACCCCCAGCUUUUACAGAAUCAUUGACAUGGGAAAGCAAGUUUCUGCAUUUCCUCCAUGUUAUCAUCAGCAUGUACCGACUUGGCCCACUCUUGUCCAUCAUUUUCUUAAUGUCUACACAUCAAUUCCAAGAGUUGAAAGCUCUGUUUUAUACAAUUAAGAACAAGGGAGGGGGGGAGGGGGGGGGGGGGGGGGGGGGAAGGGUCCACAUCACGUUAAGUAAACAAUCAUACCUGAGAAGUGAAAAAUCAUGUGUAGUUGAAACAAAGUUAUUGUUUCCUGAAAAUUUCAGGAAACAAGGGAAGAGAUGGAAAACUAUUGAAGGAAAGAAUCCCAAGUAAUCGGGAUUAUGACUGUGAUAUUCUGUAAUUAGCUGUAUAUGGUAUUUACCAUUCUUGGACCUAUAAUCGUGGAUCGAACAUGUAUGUAUUCUGUAUAUAUGCUGCGCAUUGCUGCAAUGCUAAAUAAGAAAUAUAAUUUCUUCUCUGUAUCAACUUCUUUAUGGUACCAGAGCAAAUCGAUUCUGAGACCUACUCAAGAAAUCAAGAAGAUCAAAUUCAAACACCCUCAUGGCAGGAGACGAAGACAACAAGCUGGUGGUUGAAAAGAACAAGGAAUCGGCCUCAGCUUCACAGCGAAAUCCUGAACCAUGGGAGAACUCCAAUCAUCCACUAUUUCUCCAUCAUUCGGAUCAACCUGGCGCAAUACUCAUGUCACAACCGCUGAUGGAAGACAAGUACACAGAAUGGGUCCAAUCAAUGACCAUGGCACUCACCAUCAAGAACAAGAAGGGUUUUGUAGAUGGCACUCUCAAACGACCAACUCAUAACCCUGAUAAACAACAACAAUGGGAUCGCUGCAACAUCCUUGUCAAAACCUGGCUGCUGGGAGCCAUGUCGAAGGAAAUAUCCAAGAGUGUCGUCCAUUCCAAAGAUGCAAGAGGUGUGUGGCUUGAUCUUCAAGAAAGGUUUUCUCACACUAAUACAGUUUUNNNNNNNNNNNNNNNNNNNNAUUGGUACAAACAGAACACAUACGGACCAAGGAACAACCAGCAGACAUUUUCACAAAGCCAUUGAGUUCGAACCAGUUCACUACAUUACUGGGCAAGUUAGGAGUGAUUAACAUACACUCCAACUUGAGGGGGAGUAUUGAAGGAAAGAAUCCCAAGUAAUCGGGAUUAUGACUGUGAUAUUCUGUAAUUAGCUGUAUAUGGUAUUUACCAUUCUUGGACCUAUAAUCGUGGAUCGAACAUGUAUGUAUUCUGUAUAUAUGCUGCGCAUUGCUGCAAUGCUAAAUAAGAAAUAUAAUUUCUUCUCUGUAUCAACUUCUUUAAAAACCAUGCCAAAAAUGAGACCCAUGGGCAUGACACAAGUUAUAGUUUAACCAAAUUAUUACAGUUGGACGGGUGAAAGUGUGAAAACAUUAGAUAUAUUCAAAAAUUCGAGAGGCACGGAACUAUGAAAGUCUGUAAUUUUAAGUUCAUGCCCAAAAAGAAUCCGGUCAAUAUUGCUCUUUGUUUUCCCUUAAUAUGUUAAAUGCCAUGACCCAAAAUUGGGAAGCGGUACAAAAAGUAUAACACAACAUAAUAUGUAGAAAGAAAAAAGAGGUAAUUAGAUCAUGAGUCCUAAGCCAAAUCCGUAAAGCUUCAGAGCAGGGACAUUGUAAUUAGUUCAUAGAUCAUGAGUCCUAAGCCAAAUCCGUAAAGUUUCAGGGCAGGGACAUUGCAAUUAGUGUACUGCUAGUGGAAUAUGAAUAAUAGCAAGAACAUGCAAAUACCAAAUCUGUAACAAGAAAUCAUAGUCCCAACCAAGAAGUAGUCAUAAGACAAACAACAUUAUUUAUGUGGUGCAACAUUAAGUACCUGUAUAACGGCAUCCAACUACCCAGCUCUCUGUCUUUGCCUAAAGUUACAUCUCACAAGGUCGCCUGGUACCCAAGAACACAGUCGACGGAAAACUUCGACCAAAACCCAGAAAUACAGUGGAAAAGAAAAUCGGAUUAGGGCUUUAUUUAUGGAAAUCAAAAUCAAAACUCAAGGAGGAGUGAAAACGAGAGGGAAAUGAUGAGUUUACCUUCCCGGAGCACGAGUUCGCCAGAGAGGGAGAAACUCGGUCAGAAAUUGGAUUUGGGGAUUUAGGGUUUGGAUUUCAAUAUGAAAAAUCUAUGUUUGUAUGUGAAAUUGGUGGGUAGGAGGAGGUAGAGGAGAGAGAGGCGAGCUGAAUGGUGAUCGCCGAACGUCCAACGACGGCCUGACAACGGCAGAGGCGCGGCUGGACAGAGCGGCACCACUCCUCCUCCCUCUGCUGAAAGUCUCUCCCUCUCUCUAUUAGGGAUUCCGCCCUAUAUAACCAAGACCAACGGCCCAGAUUAGAGAAUGGGAAUGGAGGGCUGAGAUUAAAAGUUAGAAAUUAAAAUAUGAAAUAAUAAUUUAAAAAAAAAAUCAAAAAAAUUUAUACGACCACAAUAAAUACCGUCGCAAAUUCUUCAUUUUCAUGUCACGGGAUGAUAUAGCCAUAACAAAUAAUUUCAUCUUUUGCCACGGCAAAUCAUUUUUGUCGCAAAAUAAUUUUUUUUUCUGCUACCCAAUAUUUGUUAUCGCAAAAUAAUAACUAUUAGUCACGGCAUUUGCGCUCCGCCACAAGCCAUGGUAGCUAAAAGAAUUAUUUUUGUAGUAUAUGUCCAUGUUCAUAAUUUGAUUGUAUGCAAAACAUAUAUUUUUUUCUUAUUUAGGAUCAUGAAAAACCAUAGUCCAAGUCUUCAAAAUGACAAAGUCUUUGAUCAAUUAUACUUGACAAAAUAAUAUACUCGAAUUUCGAGUUUCUGACAGUUGUCCAAGGAUCAUAGCCUCAUCAAAUUUCAUAUUAUACUCAAGUAAUGAGUCAUAGUUGGUGAGAUGGUUCACGUAACCCAAUCCAAAUGAUAAAGCAACCAACUUUUGCAAUCAACACUUUUAGCGUAAUUAUUGGAAUUUAUCCAAAAAUAUUCCACAUUGUAUGAUCUUUGUGGUCUCAAUAUGAAUCCAUUUUUGAAUGUAGAAGAGAAUAAAAUCUCUUGAAUAUAGACAACAUAGUGUCAUUUGACAGUUUAAUGUGGGCUAUAUUGGAGCCUUAAACCAUGCUAAUAAUUGCAGAUGUCAUGAUCACAUUAGCUUUAGAAAAUACUAAACUAUUGAUGAAAUUUUGAUCACAUAGGAUCAUAUGCAUACUUGCAUUGUCUGCAAGGCAUAUGUGGAGCUGAAUGCAUUCAUUGAAUUUAGCCAUUUUAAAGGCUUUUAGCCAUUGCUUGUUGGGGUUAUAGAAAAUUAAAGCAACAAAUAGACAUAUCAAUCCCAAGAUCAACGUAUAUAAUUGAUUUCAGCUAUAUUUAGUGUCUUUGGGAAGGGCGUGAUAGAACACCACUAAAUGUUAUAGCAUUGUCGAAAGCCUCAAAAAUGUUUACCAUAACCACAAAUGCAACCAUAUCAGGAUCCAUAUUAGAACUGUAUGUUCUUUGAAUAUGAUCAAGUAUCAUAUUCGAAACUGAAGUUUCAAAGUGUUCAUGAAUAUAAACAAUGGAUCUCAUAGGGAGAACACGAGAAAAGCAUUUGUGUGAUGUCUAUAGAACCAAAGGUUUCAGACUACUCGGUCAGCGGACUCGAGUCUUGACUAUUGGAACAUGAAGUUCUCAAAGUCGUAUCCAUAAACCUGUAUAAAUAAAAUGAACACAUAUAAAAUUGAUGUUCAAAAGAAAAGAAAAAAUCAUAGAUCAUUAGCCUUGGUCAUAAGCAAUCUUGUUGCACCAUAGGCAUGUGGAUCAUCAUGGAGUUCAUAGAAGAAGAAGAAAAACUAAAAAGCGAAUUCGUGCUGAUAAAGUGUUAUAAACUAAAGAAAUAAGAGAGAGAUGAUAGAGAGACAAUAUGUGGGAGGAGGAGGAAGAAGUGUGACAUUCAUUCUCAUUAAACCCUUUUAUAUAUGAGUAAUGUUUACAUCAUAAGGACAUAAAUUAUGAGUAUGUACAUGGACAUCCACAUAAUUAUAAUAUUUACAACAAAAUCAUAUUGUUUUAUGAAAUUUGAUGUGUACAAAAACAAACAUUAACAUGAUACCAUAAAUCUAGCUUCACCUUGCAAUCCUUGUACUAGAUCACUAUAUAAAACUACUAUCAGCUAAUUUCUAUGUCAUUGAGCAUAUUAUUCACAUUGUGACGUUCUAACGAAACUUCACGUUGUAAAUCGGUGACCUUGAUAGCAAAGAUUUCAACUAAACUAUGGGAUUUAAUAGUUCUGGUCGAGAAGGGUAAGUUAGACUCUUGGGAAGAAGCUGUUUCCACCCAGUUUAUAAGCUCUUCUCCGUACAAAACAUUUUUCUCCUCAACUUCGACAGUUCUUGAGAAACCAGAUGAAUCGUAGAUGAGUACAAUCCCUUGUGUGAGGAAGAACAUCCUAUCAAGUGGCUCCCCUUCCCGAAUCAUAUAACUACUCUCAUUAUAGAGCACCGGCUUAAGAUGUUUACAGAUUUUCUUCAAUACCAAAUCGUCUUUAUGUUGAAGUCCAUCAACCUGGGAUUUACGUAAAUUGAGGAAGAACAAAAUUAUAAGAAAGAAUUUUGUAAAAAAAUUCAGUUAAAUAUGGCAUUUUACUAGUGUGGCUUUAAAUUAAACUAGAGAUGGAACACCCAAUCUCAAAAGAGACAAUGUAUUAUAUGAUAUAUUACAAAUAUAGUUCAAUGGACAACGGAUCUUACUUUUUUGAGCUUAUCAAAAAAUAGAGCGCACUUGAUCUCAUCAACAAAACUUCGGGCUUCUUCUAAGGAAAGAAUUGAAAACAUAUUCUCUACUAUAUAAUUGCCAUCAUCUGCAAGUUUACUUUUUAUAGCAAGCUUAAUUUUCUUCUCCAUCUCGUGAUUCUCUUCGAAUAGACCAUAUUCAUGUAAUAUCAAUCGAAAAUUAAUCAUUUUCAUCCUCACUCGGAUAUUAUCAUCUCUGCCAACAUUCUGCAUAAAUGUCUAUUCCAAAAACAAGAGAGGGUAGGUUGAGUUCAAUAAACUAAAAUCAAUGUGGGUGCAGAAAUGAUUAAUGGACAAAAAAAUUCAAAUAGCAUAAUUAAAGUAACUGUAUUGUAACAAAAUGAGAGGUUAUAUUAAGCCUAAUCUCAGUUGUUACCACUUAGCAUUUCCUAAUGGGAGAAUCAAUUUUGUCUUAAAAAGUCUCAAUAUUUAUGAUGUUAACAAAGAAAAUGCACCCAUGUUUUGAUGCCAAUUGCCAUGCCAGUUUACCAACUUUUCAAAUUCACUACUCAUUCAGUUCGCCAAUGCAGUAAUGAAAGGCGAUUAUGCUGCCAACACACUAUCGUAUUCAACGCUAGCCAUUGGAUUCAAAGAGUACUUGUUAUUUAUUUUUAUUUUUUUGGUCAAUGAGAAAAACUUCAUUAAGCCACAGGGGCAAAGAAGAAAGAGCAACAACGAAACAAUCAAAGAAGCAAAAAGACCAGAAGCUCAACAACACAGUUAGCUGGCAACAAAAAAAGGCAAAACCUGAAAAUAACAAGAGCUAAUCUCCCGGAAAGCCAUCACUCCUCAUAACAUUCAUAAGGAGAGAGAUGAUGUGAGAUUGUGGGACCUUGUUGUCUCUAUUAGAAGGUCUAUUAAGGGGGCAAUAUAUGUCUAUUGGCGGACCAUUAAACUUCUCCGACGAUCUAUGAGAUCUUUGACCACCUAGUUGGGGACCUCCGGCUAGUAAAUGGUUGGAUUCUGGUGAUUGCUGACUAGAUUCUGACAGUCAGUGACUAGUUAUGAUGACUGUAUUCUAGCGAAGUCUCCUAUAACUCUCUCUCUUUCAUUACUCUUACAAGGCAACUUACAAGUCUUGGUACAACUUACUUAGUAAGUCGUAAAAUGUUAAGUAUUUAGAAUAAACGACAUCAUAACUUUCAUAACUAUAAUUUCUUAUUUAUAUAUCACUAACCUGCAUAUGCCCCAAGAGAUACAUAAACAACACCAAGCCACAUAUCGAAAAGACAAGCGCGAGCAAGUUUUCUGAGCCACUUGCACUUGUUUUGAGAUUUGAACCGAAAGAACUGAAGAGAAAGAAACAGAGAGUAAUGCAUGUAAAAGAUAUUUUGUAAAAGAACUAAAGAGAAAAUGUACAGUAAUAUAUUAAAAAGUACAAUAUAUGUGUAGAAAGUGACUACGAUUCGAUACAUUUUAAUGGUGAAUCGUUAAGACCUUAGUUGUUAUAUUAGUUCACACUAAACCUUAAUUACAUACUAUAUUCCAUUAUUAUCCUUAAUAAUGAUAAACAAUAAACUUCGACAUGUAUGAUCGACACAUUUGCUUUGUUGCCGAUCAAUACAGUAUCAGCAACCUAAACUUAGCUACGAACAACCCUACAAGAUUGAGCUUUAAAAAAUCAAUUUCUAUUUGAUUUUUUAGAUUUCGUAGUGUUUGGUUAAUUAGAGAAACUAGUUCUUUUAAAAAGAAAAAAAUUACAUGUUACUUGUAGCAAAUUCGAGGUUGCUUUUUAGAAGCUGUUGUCAUUAAAAUGGCUUGACAACAUUUUAAAAGUUUUAUUUAAGAAGAAUUUUUUUAGGAACCUACAUGUACGUGAUACCCACAUGUACUAAUAUGACAACAAUUUUGUUGUCAAUGAGGUAAAUUGAGUCGAUCAUAACUUAGGUAAUUUAAUUCUAUUAGCGGUAAUUACUCAAUUUAUGACUUUUUACAGUUUAUGAACAAAUUGUUGUGGAUAUAAUAACUUGGUUCAAGUAUAUGUAAAUGUGUAAAACCGAUGUGGUAAAUUCGUUAUCAAUGUUGUAAAUUUACUUCAAAUAAAUAGUAAUUUUUGUCCAUAGUUGCAAAUAGGCCUAUAAUCUCAGCCUAGGGCUGAUGGGCACGCCCAAACUUAGCCUAAUUUUUUUAAAACAAGUAGGGUAUGGGCAACACUUCUGAAACCCUGGCCUCGCUCAUGGGCAGGCCUUGUCCAUAUGGUAUAAUUUAGGGCCGGUCAGGCCAACCCUCCCCAAAAGGUAAAUAUAUGUUUUUACAUUAAUGAAUUAGUUAAGAAAUAUUAUAUUAGUGUGAUAAAUGUGUUACAAUUUCAUUUACACUACAAUAAAUAACUCUACUUUGCUCUCGUUUCUUUAAUAAGUUGGUAAAUAACUUUAAAUUUAAUUCUUUUUAUUGUUCAGGUCACCGAGGGGGGGGGGUGGGGGUCGUUUUGGCCCAAACAUUUACCCUCCCACGGGUCGAGCAUCGGCUUCCAAAAUUUUGACAGGGUCGGCCCUAUCCUGCCUAUUUUAUAUGUAGGGUUGAAAAAGCCCAGGGCCGGAUAGUAUAUGGGUCAUCAUAUUUUAGGGUCGAGUUGACCCAGCCCUGCCCAUUUUACAAACAUAGUUGUAAAUGAGGGAAUGGUAUACAAGUGGGUACCAUAGACGACCCCAUAUUUACCAAACACAAAAUACUUUUUAUUAACAUCUUAUUGUUUCACAUCACAACAACAAUUAGUUUUUUUUCAAAGAGACAGCAUUCUCAAAUUAGCCCUAAAUAUAUCUACGUUGAGUUAAAGUUGGAUGUGAAAAUUGAAGAAGAUCUGUACAUGCAUGUCGCUCUCUGUCUCUCUCGGUCUAUGCAAAGGAAGAAAAAAGAAAAAAGAAUAUAUGACGAUAAUAUUGGAAAAGGUUAUGUGUGAAGAGGCCAGAAUCGGUGUCCAAAUAUUUUGAAGAAAACCAUAUUAAUUAAAAAAUAGGGAAAUUUAAUAACUUAGAUCUAUAAUUAGAACUUUUGAGACAGAAAACAAUACAAAACAAGAGAGCGUCGAGAGAACAUCCUCUACUUUCUAUCCCGCCGCUUAGCACCCCUUUCUCUUCUUUUCGACACAUGUUGGACAAGGUUUCCUAUAGCUUUGCCUCUACCCUCAAUAUUCGGGAGGCCGGUAGACCUUCUUCUGGUCUCGAUCGUGCCGCCGCCGCACAACAACAGUUUUUCGCUGUUGGAAGACUUCUUUCUCAGGGUUGUGAUUGGGACUCUUUCACAGGAAUGGAAUCUCCAAAACAGACUACUAAUGAGACCACAAGCUGAUCUGUUCAUCCUUCGCUUCGCGCUUUUGGGCAGCUCCGACUGCAUCGUCUAGUUUCCCUCUGCCAUGUGUUAUUCUAGCGAGUUAUGUUGAGGCAGCGAUCCAACCGACUCUUGUUGGGACCAAGAGGGGUCUUGAUAUGGAUCUGUGUACUUUUGGAAAGAGGGGACGCAGUGAAGACAAUGAGAUAGACAUGUAACAAGCUUUGGUGCCCUAUGAACUCUCCUUUAACCCUGAGAUGGUGUUGGCUCAGUCUGGAGGACAAAUCACGGUAUCACCAGCUAAGAAACGUAAGGUUGGUCGUCCUAAAAGUUCUAAGAGUAAGAGAAGAAUGAUGGAGGGUUCCAUUCCCAUGAGAGGUCCUCUGAAGUGUAAGAAGAGGACUUUUGGCGCUCACAAAGCACUAGUUUUGGAGGAACAGGUGGAGUUCCAAGAGAGAGGUACGUUGGAGACUAAGGUGUCCACUGAUGAGGCUCGCUCUCCUUCUGAGGGCAGUGUGUCUGGGGAACCUCCCUCUAUGUAAGACCUUUUUGGGUGGCUUAAAUAAGUUAAGCUAUUCUCGACAAGUCAAACCUUUUGAGCUGCACAAUUAUGGUUUGCAGUAUUAAAGUUAUUUAGUUCUGCUUAGGGUUCUAAGUUUUCAGGUUUGUAAGUUUUCUAGAUAGUUUUGUAUGAUUCAAUUUUUUCAUAGCUCACAACGUGAUGGAUUAUGUUUACGUUGUACUCCUACUUUCAGGUUUUAAUGGAAUGACGACAUCCCUUUAUCAAAAACAAGAGACUUAGAUCUAUAGUUGAAGCAAAUGCCUCUACAUGUAGUGAGUGACAGAGAGAGUGAGAGAGAGAGAGAGAAUCUUUUGCAUGAUUGUUCAAAUGAUGACAAAUCUUUAUCAGCUAAUUAGAACGUAUAAUAGUGAACAUUGCUAUACCAUAAACAUUAGAUUUUCUCCCAACUUUCCAGAAUGCGCCUCCACGCACAUAACCCUAAAUUCCUUUUUUUCUACUCUUUCUCUCGUCUAGCUGCGCCGCGGCGCUGGCAGCAACUAUUGGCCAAGCUGGUGUACGAGGUGAGCGGCCAAACAGUAUUUUGGUGAUGUGGGUAUGUUUAUUGCUCGGAGGAUGGGUUCAAGCAAACUUUGGUCUCGUCCUAUACAGUGUAUGGUGGCUAUUGUGUCGGACACUGUGGCAAGGUAGGAGGAUAGAUCAGAGUUUCAACUGCUAGGGGAUCGAUGUGAAGCCUCACGGUGGUAGGUGGUCCAACUGAGGUUGGUGGUUCGACAGGUUAGGUCGCCGGCGUGAAGGAAAGGUUGUUUCUUCCUCGGAUCUUGAUUUUGACUCUGAUUUGGAAGGCUGGUGGGUGAGUGGUUUGCAUAGUCAACGGUCAAGAUGUGGAUAUAAGAUCGAAAUGUGGGAUAAGCCAAAAAGUCCUCAACUUAAGGGUCCUCAUUAGAAGGGUUUCCAUACUAAUAAUAAUAAUAAUAAUAAUAAUAAUAAUAAUUAGAACAUAAAACAAGUUACCACAAGGUGUAGUAAGUACGUGCAAGCCAGAGAUUUUUUUAUGGUUUGAAGUCAACAUUUGUUUAGUCCUUAUAGUUUUAUUUUAAUCUGAAUGGUCCUUAAAGUCAUGAUUUUUCUUCUAAAUAGUCAUUCCGUCAACUUUCUCAGUUAGAUUGCUGACGUGGAUGUUAAAAAUGGCAAUGUCUUUAACGACCACAAUGUCUUUAACGACCACAUUAGUAUUUUAACGGAAAAAAAUUGACAGAACGACCAAUUGGAAGAAAAAUCAUGAUUUUAAAGACCUUUCAGAUUAAAAUGAAACCAGAGGGACUUAACAUAUGUCAACUCCAAACCAAAUGGACUAAACAAAUUUCAAUUCUAAUAAUAAUAAUAAUAUAAUAAUAAUAAAAAUUAGAACGUAAAACAAGUUACCACAAGGUAUAGUAAUUAAGUACGUGCAAACCUGAGAUUUCUUAUGGCCCAUGAUAAACAUUGCAAGUACUUAUUUGAAAAUUUUGUUGAUCUUUGCAUGCCGGAUUCUAAAGCAUCAUGAAACAUGCCAAAAUCGAAUACUUGUGUAUUAGGGGGAUUCGUGGGGCACAAGUUCUUGAAGAGUGUGAUACUUCUAUGUGUACUUUGAACACAUGAAGUGCUGAAUUCACAUCCACUUUCACUUUUGCAAGCAUAUAUCCAACACUCUAUCUCUUUUUGGAUCGAGAAAUAAUACCAAAAUGCUCCGAAUAUCUAGUUAAAAUAACAUGAAAAUGAAUACAUUAUUAUAACUCAUAUGUGCAAAAUAUCAAUGGGGCACUAUUUUUAGAAAUUGUCAAAGAAAAAAUAAAUUUGAAUGCCAAAAUUAAAAACACAGUUUUAAGUUAUACUAUAUUACUAGGAUUAUAGUCUUCAGAUGAAGUUCGAAAUAAAAAUAAAAAAAAUUCGGAAAUAAUUAAGAUAAUUGAGAGGAAUUAUACAUAUGCAUGCUAUUUUUAAAUAGUUUACUAGGAUAUUUCUUCGUAAUUAAACAACAUAAUCUAAGAGUAAUGAUAAAUGAACCACAUUUUUAGAUAACAUAUGCAUGUUAUUUUAUGUGACAAAUUGCUACCCUAGCUUUGACCGUGGUGUCAAUUUGCUACCUUACAUUUCUUUUCCGUCAAUUUUUUUUCCCUUAAGUUUUAACAAUCAGCCAAUUUGCGACCUUUUAGUCAUUUAAUUUGUUCAUUUCUUAACUAAUAAAAUGAAAAUCUAAGACUGAAAAUGGUCAGUUUUAAAAUUUGAUAAGUAAAUUGGUUAAUUUUGAGAGCAUAAAGUAACAAAAUGCAUGAAAUGGUACCAAAUUGGCUAAAAUAAAACUGUGGGUAGCAAACUAGCUAAUUUAGAGAACCAACGCUAGCAAAUUAGCUGAGAUAAAACCUGAGCAUCUCCAACAGUAUUGCUAAAUCAAUUUUUUUUUGAAAUUUGUUAUCUUUUGGGAUAAAUAAGAGCUCCAGCAGAAUGCCUAAAAAAUUGUUAAACCCUAACAUUGCUAAACUAAAUUGAUAAAUUUAUCAAUUUGAGGAGAGUGAAUCUAUUUAUUUUUAAACUCUCCAAUGAUACAAAUUAUUUGUUCAACCUUCAAUUUUUGCCCUUCAACGUUUUAAAAUUUUAAUUUAGCAAUUGAAAUAGCAGUCCCUGUCGGAAACAAAUGCUUAAAAUCAAUAACUAAAUCUAAAUUAUUGCUACACUUAUCAAUAAUUGCAAUACAACUACUGCAGAUGCUCGAUGCUCUAAGCAUCUCCAGCAGUGAACUUCAAAAAUUGUUAUAUUUAACUACAAUUUUGAAAUUUAUGUAUCGAUAUAACAAUGUUGAAAUUGUUAUAUUUAACUAUAAUUGUUAUUUAUUAUAUUUUAACUAAUGAUGAAGUGACAAGUGGGCAAGAGAGAAGAGAGAAGAUUUAGUUAUUGAUUGCUAAAAUUGAAAUUUGUCAAUUUUUGAGAUAAAUUGAUGCUCCAGCAGAAUCAUAAAUCAUUGCUAAAUUAGAUAAUUACUAAAUUAAAUUGACAAAUAUGUCAAUUUUUGAUGUAUAACUAAAACAAUAACUAAAUCUUCUCUCUUCUCUCUUCUCUCUUGCCCACAUGUCAUUUUAUCAUUAGCUAAAUAGCAACUAUUGAUGUAGCAAUAUUGUUAAAUCGAUACCUAAGUUUUCAAAAUUGUAGUUAAAUAUAACAAUUUUUGAAGUUCACUGUUGGAGAUGCAUUAAAAAUUGACAAAUUUGUCAAUUUAGUUUAGCAAUUAUCCAAUUUAACAAUGAUUUAUGCAUUCUUCUAGAACAUCAAUUUACCUUAAAAAUUGACAAAUUUCAGUUUUAGCAAUACUACUGGAGAUGUUCUAGAGCCAAUUGACACCAAGAUAAAGUCUAGUGUAGUAGUGUAGCAGUUUGGCAAUUACUAUAAUAAAGUCUUAAAAAAAGAACUUCAAUAAAAGACGUGGUUGUGGCCACAUAAGUUGCCGCAUAAAAAAUGGUAGAGAAAUUUUAAAUACACACAUCUAAUCUUUUUUUUUUGGACAAAACAUCUAAUCUCUUAAUACACACCUCUAUUCUUUUAUAUUUCACCUCAGAUUUUAUAGAUAUGUUUAAUUACAAAAACAUCCAUCAAUUAUUAGGGAGAAAAAAAAAACUCUCUUUCCUAAAACCUAACUUUUCUCCACUAUUACUACGCAUCAAAAGAAGAGAAAUAAAAAUCUUUUCUCCAAAAUUCAUCACCUGAAUUUUGACUACUGUCGUAAUCACAUGUACUAUUUACCGAUUCAUUUGAGUUUUUUUUUUUAUCAACUUUAGUUUUUAUCUUGCAAACUAAAAUCUAAUUUUUAUGAUAUUGUAUUCUACUAGUGUCUUAACUUUGAAAAAAUUAUGUAUGUUCUUAAAUUAUAUUAAAUAACAUAUUAUUAAUAGUUUUAGAUAUUGAUGGUAUUUUAGGCAGUUUGGGAUGUGUAUUAGUAUAAUAUUGAAAUGAAAAACUAGAUGAGUAGUGUAUUAAGUUAGGCAGCAGUGUAACUAAAAUUAUAGUUAAAUUUAAUGAGAUUUAACAAUUGUUAUAAGAAUUUGGCUCUAGCAGUUAUUGCUAUGUGUAAGUUAAGUAAUAUUUUCAAUGAAUUAUAAACUGACACGUGAAGAAAAAAAAUGAGGCAAAAUAUAAGUAUUCCUUUAGCAAUUCAUUGCUCAGUUGACAAAUUUAUCAAUUUUGUUUAGCAAUCCUUAAAUUUAGCAACCAUUUAAGUAUAUUGUUGGAGCUCUUAUUCAUUCUAAAAGUUGACAAAUUUUAAAAAAAAAAUUUGAUUUAGCAAUACUGCUGGAGAUGCUCAAAAAUUGAUUUAGGGGUGUGUAUUUAAAAUUACUCAAAAUGGUAUAAUCGAAGCAGUUAGUAAAAACAUAUUUCAUCUAACGUUAUUCUUUUCCGAUCUAUGUGUCUAUCCUAAUUUUUUGAGAAAGGUAAAAAUUAUGUGUCUAUUCUAAUUCUAAUUGUAACUCAACAUAUUAUAACAUCUUGAUGGGGAGUUAAAUAAGUAUGAAUAGAUAAAAACGUACAUGGCUGGCCACAAGGUACCCAAAGAUAUUGAGCAUCCAUUUUGCACGAAUGUGGACAAAUGACAACGAAUGACGCUUCAUGCUUCUCAUAUUGCCAACGUUCACAAAGUUAAUUGCCUUGUACAUUUGAUAGAGGGGGUAAGCUCGUGGAAAAUACUGCGAUGCAACAAGGCCGUUGAGAACCGUCAAUGUCUUCAAAGAGUUGGAACCCCUCGUGUUUGGAAGAAUAAGUAAAAUUGCCACCUGCACACGCAACAGAAAUUCUUGAAGUUUUAGCAAGAAAUAUGUAUGUCAGUGAGUUGUAGUUUGGUUAGGUAAAUUAACCAACAUGGUUAUGGGGCAAAUACAUAAAUUGAAAAUUAUUGAAUUUAUUCCAGCUGAAGACUUCUCGAUCUUACUUGUGGAAUAGGAAGAACACACACCGCUAGCCCCAGUAGUUUCCUAAGGGGAGGAGACUUCACCCAGCCAUCUUUGAUGCGAACAUAUAUUCUGAUUAGGUAACGAGAAUCUCCCACAGAUCGGAAAACCAGAGCUGCUAUCUUCACUCUCUUGUCCAAUGUAAGACACUUGGCCUCCUCGUUGAUAAGAGGAACAUACAGAAACAGAACAUCCAGCAACAGAUACAACAUCGAUGAUAGAAAAAAUAUUCCAUCACGACUGGAAUUAUCCAGUAGUAUUUGUAAGGGCGGAAUUAUUAUUGCACAGACUCUUAGAUGUAACCCAUCUGAAACAUGGUGCUUUGAUAAUUCUCUGACCAAUUAAGAAACAACAAACAUGUUCUAAAGUCAUAUGGGGAAGUAUGAUCAAAAUAUAAAAAAAGAAACUUAUUCCGUCAGUAGAGGAUCACUGAAGGAACCAAUUACCUUUCAGGUUCUCUUUGUUUCUGUUUUUCAUCACGGUCUCUUCCGGCCAUAAUUUGGAUGCUUCCUAGCUUAUACCACAAAGUUCUCAAUGUCGACUACGAAUUAUUUCAAAUAUAUAUGCAGAGAUAUGAGAAAAAUAUAUAUGCGAGAAAGAAAACUGUGAUUUCAUUUUUCACACAGGGAAAGGUCAGAAAACAAAGAGAUAUACAAGGAGAAGUCAUACCUGGAUAACUUAGUCGAUCAGAUGAUUUGACUCAAAGGAGGGGAAAUUGGCAAAUGAAGAUGCAGCAAAUCCUUUCAAUCAAGCUCUGGGAUAGAACUACUAAAGUUCAAGCUGAUCAAGUAGCUAUAUAUGCAUGGUUGGUUUGUAACACACAUAUAUAUAUAAUUCAAAAGUUCAUCAAGUGAGUGUAUCACGUUAUGGCAUUGCCAGGUUGAUCAAGGAAAGAAUAAACAUGCUAGCUGCAUGAUUACCUUGUUUGGCAAGGAGGUACGUAUGGUUCUUUUGGUAAGGCGAUGAUUAAAGUUUGCAUCAAUUCUUGAAGUGAGUAUCCAUAAUUGUCUUUUGUGAAGGAACAACGACAUACCAAAAGGUACUAUAUUCACACUCCAUUUUCCAUUUUCUGUUUGAAUUGAACACAUAGAAGGGUGGGAGGGAAAGAGAAAGAGAGCGUGAUUUUAAUUCAUUUUCAGGUCUUGCUUUUACCACUCGAUUCACUUUUGAUUCCAUUUCCUUAAGGAGGCCAUAUUCAGAUAACAUGAUGGGUUGUAUUUCUGGUUCUAUGGUUUCUGUCAUCUUCUCUGGAAUACUAUCUGAAAUGCUCGUUCCUAAAAUCUAAAACAUUUCUCAACCUUUUAAUGAGUCGCUAGGUUCCUUUCAACAACCAUUACAAGUGCAACAGCAUAAUGCCGAAGAAGAUUCAAAUUCUGACUUGAACAAGGGUACAAUAACUAGUUAUUUCUGCUAAACCAGCACCGGGAAUAUCAACAACAAUGGUCCAUUUCAUAAAGCUGGUUAGUGUUCAAAACCGUUUCUACAGACCUGAAGAAGCUUUUAGCAUCUCGCUUGGUAUGUCUAACUACCAUAUAAACCUCUGUGUCCCAGGUUCAUGGGACCAGUGGAAUGGACAAUACAAGAACAUUACCAUUGUGAAGGCGUUGACAGCUGUAUACAGAAACCCCAUGAUGAGCCAACUUUGGUAAUCAUCAAUAUGAGAAUGUAGUAUCAAGAAAAAGAAUGGAAUAGUAUAGUAUCUGAACUCAAUCAGUGGCGCUGGGACCAAAACUGCAGCAGUGGCCAAGGAAAAUGCCAGCAGCCAGAUCUUCCUCUGAACCUUCCCUGCCAUAGUGCAAUAAAAAUGCUUACUUAGUGAAGAAACAUAACAAUGCUUUGGUGAAAUAUAAUGACUAAAAUAUGUAUACUGACCCGAUCUAGUGAUGAUGGAAAGCCAUGAAUAAACAUAAAGUGGGACUAGAAAGUACUUCAUCAACCAAUGAGCUUUGAUGACCUUCUGCCAAAGAUAAAAGGGAUAAUGCCGAUUAUCCGCAAGAAGAUAGGGAUGAGCUAUGCUGCAUCAGAAAUGAACUACAUAUGAAAUAGUAACAUAAAACGCACUGAAGGAAGUGAAACAUAACAGGAAAGCUCUUGAUAAGGGAGAAAAUGGACAAGUUUCUUGUAAACAUAGAAAUAAACAGAUAAAUACUGCUUUAUAAAACCAGCAGGAUUACUGAAUGCCAGUAGUAACAAAGUUUGAGCUAUUGUUUUUCAAUAAUCUCAAUAAGAAUUGAGCUAACAAUAUAAACAGGCCUAACCUGAAAAAAUGAAUGGAGAUGAAGCCAGCGACAAGUGCCAAGGAAAUUCGAAAGAAACCAACGGACUUGUUCUUCCAAAUUGACUGGAAUAACUCUGCAGUUUGACUGAAACUACAGUAUGUUGGAGCCAUAGCAAGAACAGAAAACAGACCAAAAUACAUGAUCUGUGCAAAAUGUGGAGAAACUGCAUGAGCUUCUUUCGCACCUGAUGUGGACACAGUAAGGGACAGCAGCAAUAAAGAUACAUUCACUUGCUACAUAGUUGAAAAAAAGAAAAAGAAAAAAAGGACAGAAGCAUACCUAGAACAAUACUCCCAUUCCAACGAACAAAAGCAACAAAGGCUGCAAAUACCAUAAUAAAUGGACUGAAAGAAACUACAAACUCCAACUUCAUGUGCCACAGUUUCUGAAAGAUGGCCUUAGUUUCAUGGAUAAUACCUGCAAUAUAAUACCACUGGGAUAAGCAAUGAGGAAAGGGAACGUCCAUGGCAGGGAAUGAGCAACUGGUUUGGAAAGCAACAAUUGGAGUUAGUCUAUUAUAUCAACUGUGAUCACCAAUUAACAUAAACUCAUGACAUGAAACUUAAUAAAAGUUCAACUAGACAUGUGAAGAUAAAACCUGAUGUGUAGUUUUGAGAAGAAACACUUGAAGCCAGCAUUGAAUGUAUCUCAGUAUCUGCUGCAGUACUGACCUUCCGCUUUCUCAAGUUUGAAACACUGUUUUUAGGAGUUGGCCGACUAUGUUUCCUAACUGAGUAGUCAGUGUUAUCUACAUCUAUCUUAUCUCUUUGACCAACCAAAGUAAUAUUUAUAACCUCGCAGCAACACACAAAAAGCAUCCAUACAAUAUUCGUUUGCCGAAUAACAACUGCCAAGGCACCAAGCUGCAUAAACAAUGUACAAACUAAAGUCACCAUUCAAACGGAAAAAAACAUAUGGAUGUAACAUAGUAAGUCCAUAUAGGUACACAGUUGCUCAGAGUCAUAUCAUCAUGUUAAAACAAUUAUACAUUGACUAAUCCAAGAGGCUUGAGAUAACAGCUUACCAAUGCACUGAACCAGUACUUCUUCUUCAAACAUGCAAGAUACACAGCAAGCACCGCAGCAAGUGAUGCAACAUCUGUAUAAUAGAGAAACGUAAAGAACCAAUGGAGAGGAUACAUAGCUAGAACCACCGCAAAAAGACUUGCUUUUCUCUCAUCAAGAUUUGGUCUCAAAUGUCUGAUUAUCUCAUACACAAGAACACUGCAGAUCACCGCCAAAACACCAUUCGUGGAGCGAAGAAUCGCAGUGGAGCAGCCUUCAGAAAACGAAGAGGCUGCUUUUACUAAAGACAUGCCUGGAAACAAACAAGCAACAUGGGCUAAUGAAAGAUAGUACCUGCAAUAGUUUCAACUCACAUUUUAUCAAAAUCUUUACAAAUAUUUUCUAAAACUAAUCAACACCCAUUUCUUGCCUUCCAAUUACAACAAUACUAAUUUCAAAAGAAUCAAGAAAUGCUAGAGGAUAACAUACAGGCCAGGAGGAGUAGUGAUCAUGGGAUCCCAGCUUCUGAAAUUGCCUCUACAGUACUGUUGAGCCUGAGGCACAUGGAAUAUCUCAUCCUACACAUUACAUAAACUUGUCAACAAAAUCACACAUCCCAAAACGAUGAACAUUCACAUUGAAAAUCAAUAAGAGAGGCUUUCUUACCAUGUAAGGUUGAGGAACAAUGUGAUUGACAAGGAUGGAGAUGGGAACAACCCACAAACUAACAAUGAUUGCCACAGCUAUCCUACCCAUCUUUCUCUGUAAACUGUAAUCCCCGAAUCAAAUCCUAAGGCUGUGUUUGGCUCCGCGGAUUCGGCAACAAAAGUGCCCCAACAUCUCCGGCCGCGAAUUUCUGAGUUUAUUGGAAGAAGUAAAGUUUACUUAUCCUGCUUUGAGUGCAAGUCGUAACCUUCCGGUUUGGCUCUCUCCAAUUUUUUUUUUUGUUUUUCUUUUUAGUAUCAAAGCCUUUGUAUAUGGUACUUUUUUUUGGUCGAGGUAAUUGGAAUGGAAGGUCCUAAAAUCCCAUUAAAAUCUUUACAGAGGGUAAAUUUUAUUUUACAAAAGUUACAUGAGAUAAACUGAAAUGGGGUUAGAAGCAUAGCCAUAGCCGACUAGACAUGAGAGGUGUCAUCAUUAAUAACGGGGUGCCAUCAUUAACAAAUUCUCCAAUUCAAUUAGAUAUCAAAAACCAAAUACAUGUAAAGCCAAAGUUUUGAGAGGUGUCAUGGCGCCCUUUGAUCUAUAUGUACCUCCGCCUACUUAGAAGCCAACUUGCGGGAGAAUUGUGUGAUGGUUCCACUAAUAAAGACAAUGAACCAACUUGCGGGAGACCUCUCGGCCUCAAAUUCGACCUAAAAACAUGCGAGCUUUAUAUUGCCGAUGCCUAUUUCAGCCUCUUAAAGGUGGGACCUAACGGCGGCGUUGCACAAACUCUUGCAACUGCAGUACAUGGAAUUCCUUUCCGGUUUACAAAUGAUGUGGAUAUUAAUCCACAAACUAGAAUGGUGUAUUUCACAGAUUGAAGCACAAUUUAUCAAAGAUAGCAAUGGGUGUCAAUAUUCAACACCGAUGAUAGCACCGGAAGACUACUGCAAUAUAAUCCGGACUUCGGGAUAGUUGAAUUGCUGCAAAGUGGUUUACCUUUUGCAAAUGGUGUAGUUGCAAGUCUAGUUGGUAAUUUUGUGCUUGUAUCCCACACUACAAGCAAAAACAUUCUAAGAUAUUGGGUUUGGGGACCUAGAGCCAGUCAAAGCGAGAUUUUUGCAAUAACACAAGGUUAUCCUGAUAAUAUUAGGAGAAACAUAAAUGGAGAGUUCUGGGUUGUAGCAAAUAGCGGCAGAAGAGGUAAAGUAGCCAAAUUCGACGCCAAUGGAAAUUUCUUGGAAGCCAUAGAUGGGUUAAAUCCUAUCAGCCAAGCUCAACAAUAUCAUAGUAAUCUUUGGAUAUGAUCGACUGUAAACCCUAUUGUGGGCAUUAUUCACCAUAUUCCUUAAGUUUUAAAUUUGUUGGGUACAUAGUUAAUCUUUCAUGUUUUAUUUUAUCAUAUAAUUUUCUCGUUGUUCUUCAUAAUUAAACUAAAAUGUUUUUACAUUCUCGAAAGAAAAAAAAAGAAGUGAAAUCCACACUUCUCAAAUUGUGAUCCACACUUAUUUUCUAUUUUUAGUAACUUAAAUUUUGUUAUACUUCAUUUUUAUUUUUUUAUGAAAAUAAUAAAUAAAAAUAGCGAUUAUAAUUUCGGGGAGCAUGAAAUUCAUAUCCCAAAGAGAAAGGCAGCAUUUGUGGUUUUGUUGUGGAAUAUCCACACGCACGGAUCAGAAAGGCAAAACCAGAAACAAUAGAAGAGAGUAUUGGACUUCAGUUUGUGUUUCAGCGCAGAAACAUGAAGUUGUUUGACGCACACUGUCAUCUUCAAGACCCAAGAAUCUUCCACAAGGCACCCCAACUGAUUGCUUCAGCCAUCGAUUCCGGCGUGGUUCGAUUCGCCGUUAAUGGGGUCUCCGAGCAAGACUGGCCUUUGGUGAAGCAGAUGGGCGAGUCUCAUCAUCCUCAUAUAAUUCCCUGCUUCGGUCUCCACCCUUGGUAUGUUGCGGACAGAACACCCAAUUGGCUCAAUACCCUCAAACAAAGCUUUGCUUCCACACCCUCUGCCGCAGUCGGAGAGAUUGGAUUGGACAAAGGGAAGAAGAUGGGUGAUUUCGCCGAUCAGGUUCAUGUGUUCCGGCAGCAACUCGAACUCGCCAAGGAGUUAAAGAGGCCGGCGUCCAUCCACUGCGUUCGAGCUUUCGGCGAUCUUCUUGAGAUAAUGAACUCAUUGGGGCCGUUUCCUGAGGGGUUUAUACUUCAUUCUUACCUUGGCUCUGCUGAGAUGGUUCCUGAGUUUGCCAAUCUGGGUGGUUACUUUUCGUUUUCGGGGUUUCUUAUGUCCAUGAAAACGAGCAAGGCUAAGAGGAUGGUGAAGGCAGUGCCAUUUGAUAGGCUUUUACUGGAGACGGAUGCGCCUGAUGCAUUGCCUAAGUCUCAAGGAGAAUCGGAGCCGCCUCUGCAGCCGGUUGAAGGUGAUGCAUCGCUGAACCAUCCGGCAAAUAUUCACAAUGUGCUGGUAUAUGUUGCAUCUUUGUUGGAGAUGGACAAGGAAGGAGUUGCCGAAGCAAGUUACCAGAAUGCUGUGCGUUUGUUCUCUUAUUAGGUCUUUGAAUCAGUUCUUGUAAAACAAAUGUUCAAUGUUGUUUACUCCUCAUCUCGAAAAUUUGGAAUAAGAAUCAUGUCAUCAUAUCUCAUUUAUAUGGAUUUAUGGUUUUGUUAACACUACAGAACACGAACACAAGCACCUUCUUGUUUUAGUGAAGAAUGUGCAGCAGGCCAGAGAGAUGAUACUGUAUACUACUAUUUCUUGUUUUAAACAACCCAGCUCAGUUGGUAGAGCUCCGCUCUUGCAAUUGAGUCGUUGCGAUUACGGGUUCAUCUUUCUUUUGUCAAAAUUAUUCAUCAUUAAAAAGAAGCUAGAACAAAAAACCGGGCUGGCAGAUCAAGCUAUAAAGUAAAUCAUACUUGCUAUCAACAAGCGCAGGUUAAUUCAACAUGCACAUAGCAGUAUCAGGUAAAAGUACCAUCAAAGAGCAACAUGCUUCUGCUGAAAAUAAUAAUUUGACAAUAUCUACCAAAUUCUUCAUCCUAAUAAUUUGCCAUUUCGUGUCAAAACACUGGUUAAAUCAAUCACUCAAAGAUCAAAAUAAUUUGACAAUAUCUACCAAAUUCUUCAUCCUAAUAAUUUGCCAUUUCGUGUCAAAACACUGGUUAAAUCAAUCACUCAAAGAUCAAAGCGGGACAAAUCAAAGAGAAAACUAGGCAAGAAAAAGUAACACGAGAAUGAAAAGCAUGCUACUGAAUGACCACUGGGAAAAGAAGCAUCUUAAAUAGAAUUACAAAAUAAUCCAGCAGUAAGCCUACAAGGUCAUAAUAGUCCAGACAUGAAGACGAUACAAAGCAAAGGAAAACGGACAACAAAACCAGAGAACAAGAAUGCAAGCAGCAUUUUUCUUUCCAAUAGAGAUAGUGAAGUCCACCAAUCCUUGAUUGUAAUCAGAAGCAUUUUCUGUGCACAAUUGAAGGGCCUGAUUCAUCGUACUCAGCUUUGGCGAUCCACAUCUACACAAAUGAAAUUACUCACAUUAGAUGUUUCAUUAACAAUCUCUAUCAAGGGCAGAUUGUACAAAAUCAGUCAUGUCACCAAAACAACAAACAAACCUGUUGGAAGGUACUGAGGGAUGCUAAGAUGGAGCCUCCGAUCCACACACUGUACUUUCUUUCUGGUGGGGCAACGACCUUGAUCUUCAUGCUGCUAGGGGCCAAGGCAGUAAUUUCCUUGCUCAUUCUGUCAGCAAUUCCCGGGAACAUGGUGGAACCACCACUGAGUACAAUGUUUCCGUACAAAUCCUUCCUGAUAUCAACAUCACAUUUCAUUAUCGAAUUGUAUGUGGUCUCAUGGAUACCAGCAGCUUCCAUUCCUAUCAUGGAUGGCUGGAAGAGGACUUCUGGGCAUCUGAAACGCUCAGCUCCAAUGGUGAUCACCUGACCAUCAGGCAACUCAUAGCUUUUCUCAACAGAAGAGCUUGUUUUGGCAGUUUCCAAUUCUUGUUCAUAGUCAAGAGCAAUAUAAGCCAACUUCUCCUUCAUGUCCCUCACAAUUUCACGUUCAGCUGUGGUGGUAAAUGAGUAACCACGCUCUGUCAAGAUUUUCAUCAGAGCAUCAGUCAGGUCACGACCAGCCAGGUCAAGACGCAGAAUGGCAUGUGGAAGGGCAUACCCCUCGUAAAUGGGGACCGUAUGACUGACACCAUCCCCAGAGUCAAGAACAAUACCUGCACACAAACCACAUAGAGAGAUCAAAUUAGAUCAGACAUUAUAUCACACAGAAUUAGAUAGAUCAAACAUGCACUGGUAAGUUAGACGCAUCAAAAGUUUGAACCUAUUAACAUAUUCAUGUUCUAAACUAUUGUCAUUUACUUACAGAUUUACAGAACCAAAAUGAUUCUCUUGUCACGGAAUCAUUUUCAAAGAUCAAAACUUAACCCGAAUUGUUUACAUUCAACAGAAAUUCAUGAUACCUCCAAAUGGAUAAAUAUGCUCUACUAAUUUAUUACACAAUUCCCAUAUAAAGGCAGUCGCAUACAAUUUUUUUUCUUUUAUACAUUUUAAGCUGAACCUUCAAAUAACCCAAAUAAAAUAAUUCCAAUACGCAACUGAAUACACAGAUAUGGCCAAGUUAUUAGAAGUAAAACUUAAGUGUAGGACUCAAUUCAAUUCCAGAGUACAUUACUUGCAAGGUAUUAAAGCUAGCGCAGUAUCUAAAAGGACUGAAGAACUUACCAGUAGUACGACCACUAGCAUAGAGGGAAAGAACAGCCUGGAUGGCAACAUACAUGGCGGGAGCAUUGAAGGUCUCAAACAUGAUCUGGGUCAUUUUCUCACGAUUUGCCUUAGGAUUAAGAGGCGCUUCAGUAAGAAGAAUAGGGUGCUCCUCUGGAGCAACACGAAGUUCAUUGUAAAAGGUAUGAUGCCAGAUCUUCUCCAUGUCAUCCCAAUUGCUCACAAUUCCAUGCUCAAUUGGGUACUUCAGAGUUAAGAUACCACGCUUGGACUGAGCUUCAUCUCCAACAUACGCAUCUUUUUGGCCCAUGCCAACCAUAACCCCAGUAUGACGCGGGCGACCAACAAUACUUGGGAACACGGCUCUUGGAGCAUCAUCUCCAGCAAAUCCAGCCUAAACAAGAAAACACGAUUUUUAUCAAAAUUUAGUCCGCAUUUGCUAACAUCAUAGAACCACACGAUUAAACAGAUAAACAAAUACUACACCCAUUCCUAAAUGCCGGUACAGAAUUAUGUUAGCAUACCUUGACCAUUCCAGUCCCAUUAUCGCAGACAAGAGGCUGAAUAUCCUCGGUCUCGGCCAUCUUCUAUACCUAAAAAGCAAACAAUCAUUCAAUUACAAACCAGAACAAACUUCUAACAGUCAUUCAUCACAUAUCAAUAGGCCACUUCUCUCCUAAAACCACAACGACGCGUAGCAAAUGCUACCUAUCACUCCUGAUGCAUUAUAAAACAGAAACUGUAGCUAACAAAUAGCACACAUCAAAUCAAGCCUAACAUAAUCUCAAGCCAAAAUCACAAAGCAAAAGCAAAAUACGCCUCUAAUCCGUAGAUUUUUACUCCCGAAAAAAGAAAAUCAAGAAUCCAAGUCCUCAUCAGCUAUAAACAACCAGAUCAGAAAACAAAUCUACCAAAAUCAAAGCAAUCAAACCGAAUGCAGCGAAAAUCAUCCAGAAAACAACAAAAUCCAAACGGCGAACACUCAAAUCAAGCAAAACUUAUAAAUUCCGAGCACAUUAUAUGAACAAAAUCAGAUCGAGACGUCGAAGAGACUCACCUUUCCCGAAACCCUAGAACGAGCGUUUCAGGCUGAGCUGAGAGAGAGAGAGAGAGAGAGAGAGAGAGAGAGAGAGANGAGNGAGAGAGAGAGAGAGGCUUGGGUGUUGGUUCAAAAUGGAAACAAAAAAAAUUAAAACGGACGCGAAAAACCGAGAGAAAGAAAUUCGAAUGAAAUUGAAAUGAAAAAAAUGGGAAGUGUGCCCGAAAUGAAAUGCGCCUUAAAUGCGCUGUAAAUUCGGUCUGCUCGCCAAGUAUGGGUGUGGGUACUGGAAUACGGUCCACACGACGCGUCAGUACGAUUUUGGGCCUCUAGUGGAUCCAGUUGUUGCUUUGACAACCCCCGAUUCUAUUGGUACAAAUUUACGAGUGUUUCCCUUUCCCUAGUUAUGAAUUUUUGUUGUUUUUCUUUUUGGGGAAUUAAUGAAUUUUGUUCUUGUUUGAAUAUAUGAUGGGGAAUAUAUAAGGGAAAACAAAACUAUGUGGAAAUGAUUUGAGGAAAGAUAAUCUUU